UGGGGAAUAUUGCGCAAUGGGCGAAAGCCUGACGCAGCAACGCCGCGUGAGGGAUGAAGUACGUCGAGAUGUAAACCUCUUUCAGCAGGGACGAAGCGAAAGUGACGGUACCUGCAGAAGAAGCGCCGGCUAACUACGUGCCAGCAGCCGCGGUAAUACGUAGGGCGCAAGCGUUGUCCGGAUUUAUUGGGCGUAAAGGGCUCGUAGGCGGUCUGUCACGUCGGAUGUGAAAACUCAGUGCUUAACACUGGGCCUGCAUUCGAUACGGGCAGACUAGAGUUCGGUAGGGGAGACUGGAACUCCUGGUGUAGCGGUGGAAUGCGCAGAUAUCAGGAAGAACACCGAUGGCGAAGGCAGGUCUCUGGGCCGACACUGACGCUGAGGAGCGAAAGCGUGGGGAGCAAACAGG
rnacentral:rRNA from 1 species